UACGUAGGCAGCGAGCGUUGUUCGGAAUUACUGGGCGUAAAGAGUGUGUAGGCGGUGCUCUAAGUUCGGUGUGAAAUCUCCUGCUUAACUGGGAGGGUGCGCCGGAAACUGGAGUGCUCGAGCGUGGGAGAGGAAAGCGGAAUUCCUGGUGUAGCGGUGAAAUGCGUAGAUAUCUAGAGGAAUACCGGUGGCGAAGGCGGCAUCCUGGACCGAGAUUGACACUAAAGCGCGAAAGCCAGGGGAGCAAACGGG
rnacentral:rRNA from 1 species